GAGAGGACCUUUCCCUAGUACGAGAGGAUUGAGAAGGACGCACCUCUGGUGUGCCAGUUAUCGUGCCCACGAUAAACGCUGGGUAGCCAAGUGCGGAGCGGAUAACUGCUGAAAGCAUCUAAGUAGUACUGUACAUAAAACA
rnacentral:ncRNA from 1 species